rnacentral:rRNA from 1 species
GACGAACCGUGCGAACGUUGUUCGGAAUCACUGGGCUUAAAGGGCGCGUAGGCGGACCGCCCAGUCCGGGGUGAAAUCUUUCGGCUUAACCGGAAACGGCCCUGGAUACUGGCGGUCUCGAGCGAGGUAGGGGCCGUUGGAACUUCCGGUGGAGCGGUGAAAUGCGUUGAUAUCGGAAGGAACGCCGGUGGCGAAAGCGAACGGCUGGACCUCUGCUGACGCUGAGGCGCGAAAGCCAGGGGAGCAAACGGGAUUAGAAACCCUGGUAGU